CACGUCAGCGCGCUUUAUUGGCGUGGCAACAAAUCGCGUCCACGAAAGCGCGAUUUGUGUCCACAUCAGCAAAGCACGCUGACGUGG
rfam:Gossypium raimondii Chr02_contig_1355, whole genome shotgun sequence.